rfam:Stegodyphus mimosarum contig7818, whole genome shotgun sequence.
GCCUUAGUGCUAUAGUGGUCAGCACACUUGACACAUAUUCGAGAGGUCCGUGGUUCGAAUCCCGGCGAGGGCA